rnacentral:rRNA from 1 species
GGUUAAGUGAAUAAGGGCGCACGGUGGAUGCCUUGGCACUAGGAGCCGAUGAAGGACGGGACUAACACCGAUAUGCUUUGGGGAGCUGUAAGUAAGCUAUGAUCCAGAGAUUUCCGAAUGGGGGAACCCAAUAUCUUUUAUAGGAUAUUACUUUUCAGUGAAUACAUAGCUGAUUAGAGGUAGACGCAGAGAACUGAAACAUCUUAGUACCUGCAGGAAGAGAAAGAAAAUUCGAUUCCCUGAGUAGCGGCGAGCGAAACGGGAAGAGCCCAAACCAACAAGCUUGCUUGUUGGGGUUGUAGGACUCCGAUAUGGUAGUCUGUUAGUAUAGUUGAAGGAUUUGGAAAAUUCCGCUAAAGAGGGUGAAAGCCCCGUAGACGAAAUGCUGACAACACCUAGGAGGAUCCUGAGUACGGCGGAACACGAGAAAUUCCGUCGGAAUCCGCGGGGACCAUCCCGCAAGGCUAAAUACUCCCUAGUGACCGAUAGUGAACCAGUACCGUGAGGGAAAGGUGAAAAGCACCCCGGAAGGGGAGUGAAAUAGAUCCUGAAACCGUGUGCCUACAACAAGUCAAAGCUCGUUAAUGAGUGAUGGCGUGCCUUUUGUAGAAUGAACCGGCGAGUUACGAUUGCAUGCGAGGUUAAGUCGAAGAGACGGAGCCGCAGCGAAAGCGAGUCUGAAUAGGGCGAAUGAGUAUGUAGUCGUAGACCCGAAACCAUGUGAUCUACCCAUGUCCAGGUUGAAGGUGCGGUAAAACGCACUGGAGGACCGAACCCACGUACGUUGAAAAGUGCGGGGAUGAGGUGUGGGUAGCGGAGAAAUUCCAAACGAACUUGGAGAUAGCUGGUUCUCUCCGAAAUAGCUUUAGGGCUAGCCUCGGAAUUGAGAAUGAUGGAGGUAGAGCACUGUUUGGACUAAGGCUCAUCUCGGGUUACCGAAUUCAGAUAAACUCCGAAUGCCAUUCAUUUAUAUCCGGGAGUCAGACUGCGAGUGAUAAGAUCCGUAGUCGAAAGGGAAACAGCCCAGACCACCAGCUAAGGUCCCAAAAUAUAUGUUAAGUGGAAAAGGAUGUGGGGUUGCACAGACAACUAGGAUGUUGGCUUAGAAGCAGCCACCAUUUAAAGAGUGCGUAAUAGCUCACUAGUCGAGUGACCCUGCGCCGAAAAUGUACCGGGGCUAAACAUAUUACCGAAGCUGUGGACUACACCAUUAGGUGUAGUGGUAGGAGAGCGUUCUAAGGGCGUUGAAGGUCGAUCGUGAGGACGGCUGGAGCGCUUAGAAGUGAGAAUGCCGGUAUGAGUAGCGAAAGACAGGUGAGAAUCCUGUCCACCGUAUGACUAAGGUUUCCUGGGGAAGGCUCGUCCGCCCAGGGUUAGUCGGGACCUAAGCCGAGGCCGAUAGGCGUAGGCGAUGGACAACAGGUUGAUAUUCCUGUACCAGUUGUUUUUGUUUGAGCAAUGGAGGGACGCAGUAGGCUAAGGAAUGCAUGCGAUUGGAAGUGCAUGUCCAAGCAAUGAGUCUUGAGUAGAGUUAAAUGCUUUACUCUCUAAGGACAAGUUGUGACGGGGAGCGAAAUAAUAGUAGCGAAGUUCCUGAUGUCACACUGCCAAGAAAAGCUUCUAGUGAGAAAACAACUGCCCGUACCGUAAACCGACACAGGUAGUCGAGGAGAGUAUCCUAAGGUGAGCGAGCGAACUCUCGUUAAGGAACUCGGCAAAAUGACCCCGUAACUUCGGGAGAAGGGGUGCUGACUUCGGUCAGCCGCAGUGAAUAGGCCCAAGCGACUGUUUAUCAAAAACACAGGUCUCUGCAAAAUCGUAAGAUGAAGUAUAGGGGCUGACGCCUGCCCGGUGCUGGAAGGUUAAGAGGAUGGGUUAGCUUCGGCGAAGCUCAGAAUUGAAGCCCCAGUAAACGGCGGCCGUAACUAUAACGGUCCUAAGGUAGCGAAAUUCCUUGUCGGGUAAGUUCCGACCCGCACGAAAGGCGUAACGAUUUGGGCACUGUCUCAACGAGAGACUCGGUGAAAUUUUAGUACCUGUGAAGAUGCAGGUUACCCGCGACAGGACGGAAAGACCCCAUGGAGCUUUACUGUAGUUUGAUAUUGAGUGUUUGUACCACAUGUACAGGAUAGGUAGGAGCCGAUGAGACCGGAACGCUAGUUUCGGAGGAGGCGCUGGUGGGAUACUACCCUUGUGUUAUGAACCCUCUAACCCGCACCACUAAUCGUGGUGGGAGACAGUGUCAGAUGGGCAGUUUGACUGGGGCGGUCGCCUCCUAAAAGGUAACGGAGGCGCCCAAAGGUUCCCUCAGAAUGGUUGGAAAUCAUUCGAAGAGUGUAAAGGCAGAAGGGAGCUUGACUGCGAGACCUACAAGUCGAGCAGGGACGAAAGUCGGGCUUAGUGAUCCGGUGGUUCCGCAUGGAAGGGCCAUCGCUCAACGGAUAAAAGCUACCCUGGGGAUAACAGGCUUAUCUCCCCCAAGAGUCCACAUCGACGGGGAGGUUUGGCACCUCGAUGUCGGCUCGUCGCAUCCUGGGGCUGUAGUCGGUCCCAAGGGUUGGGCUGUUCGCCCAUUAAAGCGGCACGCGAGCUGGGUUCAGAACGUCGUGAGACAGUUCGGUCCCUAUCCGUCGCGGGCGUUGGAAAUUUGAGAGGAGCUGUCCUUAGUACGAGAGGACCGGGAUGGACUUACCGCUGGUGUACCAGUUGUUCUGCCAAGGGCAUUGCUGGGUAGCUAUGUAGGGAAGGGAUAAACGCUGAAAGCAUCUAAGUGUGAAGCCCACCUCAAGAUGAGAUUUCCCAUUUCUUUAAGAAAGUAAGACCCCUGAGAGAUGAUCAGGUAGAUAGGUUGGAAGUGGAAGGCUAGUGAUAGUUGGAGCGGACCAAUACUAAUCGGUCGAGGACUUAACCAA